UUAGCUGGCCUUAGCGGUUAUGGCAUGGAUUUUUGUUCAUUCCUUUACUCACAAAAUUUUUACCGCUGAUUUUCUUGUUGCUGCUAUUCUUUCUAUGCCUGCCCCUUUCGCUCUACAUGAGUACACAUUUAUAUGCUUGCUGCUGCUGUCGCUGUUGAUGAUGAUUUGUGGCGUUUGUGGAACGCAUCGGGGGUUGGCAGCGUGCGUGCGGUGGUUGGCAGUGGCGAACGGUUUGUGUUUCGGCAAACUAGCUGGUUUCGUACAGUAAACGUCUUCGUACAUAUGUAAGUAAAUCAGUUGUUCGUCACAUGUUCGACGUGAAUGUUCGCCAGACGUCGUUUGUUAUAAAAUUUUCCAAAUUAGCUAAUCAAAAGGCGAUUUUUCUGUGUAUUGUGAAGCAUUUUUACUUGUGGCAAAACCUUAUUUUCCAAUAGAUGAAAGUCGAAAAAUUGUGCUAAAUUAUUAAGUGCAAAUUCUAAAAGCAAAACUAAACCUGAGUGCAAGAAAUAAAGUGCAUUUUUGUUGUUCGAUUCAUAUGAGUGCGUAUUCUUGAUGUGUUUGUGAUUAAGAAAAAAAAAAAAACAAAAACAAAAACAUAAAAAUAAAAUCUAAAACAGAUAAAACCGCUUAUGAAUACAUUUUAAAGGUCCACGUUGCGCUAAUUUUUGCAUUGAAAACUAAAAAACGUGCGCGCGUGCUACAACAAUAAGUUGGAAAUCGGUAGAAAAAAUCUCAACGGCACAAAUAAAACUUUCGUACCUAGUUCAGUUCGGCGCGAAUCGAAAACAAUAACAACAGCAACAAUAAAACGUUUCGGCUGCAACAUAAACAGUUUGCUCGCACUUGCUAGAUAACCUUCACGAAAAAACAGUGUGCAAUUAAUUUUUGUGCGAAAAAAAUUUGAUAUACUUAAUUAAAUAAAUAAUACGGGAAAUAUUAACUAAGAAG